AGGGAUAUUCUCCCUAUACCAACUACUUUUAGUCCAGGUAUCAGUAUCAGGAGCAACAAGACAAGCUCUCCUGGUGCACUCCUCUCCUUGCAGAAGGGAUGGCAGAUUGUAACUGACUUCAGGCAGCACCAGAUCAGAUGGUCUUUUUCACUCAGAGAUAGGCAGGAAGGGUGGCUUAUUCCAGGAAGUUAUUCAAGAAGGAAAUAUUUUCAGCAGUUUCUGGGAAGGAAACCAGAAA